GUAUCUCCAUGUAUGAACUCAUUCAGUCUAACGGGAACUCGGUGAAUCUCAAGAUUUAGACUGUGCAUCAAAAUGAGAAGCUUCAUAGUUGCUCUCCUGCUGCUUGGGGUUGCAGUUAAGCCUACUGAAGCAACGUUAGAUGCGAUAAGCAGCAGUGAGCGUGGUGUUCAAGAUGUUGACUCGAAUGGAGAUGGGAAGCUUGAUAUGGCCGAACUGAAAGCAGAGUACGGACAACUGGGCGCUCGUGAACUCAUGCACUUUGCUGAUUCAAAUGGUGACCACGUUCUUGAGGCUGAAGAGAUUGUGGCAUUAGAGCAAUACGCAGACUCCCACACAUAAGGGAAAUGAAACAACAGUGAAACUCUCCGAUCAACUGGAACGUAAAAAUGAAAUAAAUCGUUUGCAAUCGA